UUGACGCCAAAAAAACGACAACUGAAAAUAUUCGUGUCAGUACCCCUUUAAGUGCAUGAUAUGAUAGGUGGUAAACAGUGGUUCAGAGUGCAUUCUGUAAGGCACGUCAGCAAUCGCUCUAAGCACAUUUUUCUGCAUUGAAAUUAGUUUACUAAUAUUUGUUUUUGUUGAACUUCCCCAUACCAAUAUGCAGUAUUUUAACAGUGAUUCAAACAGGGCUCGGUACAACGUAAGCUUUGCCUUUUUCUGGCAAUAGAUGCUGGAAUUUUUUCAAAACGCCAACUACACGUGCAAGCUUACUUUGAAGAUGUUCUGUGUGACUAUCCCAUAGCAUGAAUACAUUAAAGUAGACUCCAAGCAUUCUGUGUUAGUAAUUUCUAUGGCAUUCCCUCCUAAGUCCUUUUUACCUGGCUAACCACUGUCUCGGCAUAACUUGACAUGCUUGCAGAUAUUGAACAGCUGAUGGUGCGACAAGAAUCCCAGUAUCUUCCUUGCUGUACAUUUUGAAACAAUUCUUGAACAUACAAUUUCCGUCGUGAAGUGGUACAUCC
rnacentral:lncRNA from 1 species